rnacentral:lncRNA from 1 species
CACAGUUAUCCAUGAGUACACUUACAGCCUGAAUUAAAGUGAAAUCCACUUGUCAGAAGGCUUCUUAUGCUGCCUGCAUUAUAGUGUGCCAUUUAUUAGAAUUAAUUGCCAUCGGUGGAGGAUCAGAGUGACAGCUAAACCUGUGUGUGUUUGACACAGAGCAACCCCUCUUCUGCAAACUGAAGUCUACUGUGCUGGAAUAGGAGCCUCUGUGUAAAGCUCUUUAUCACAAUCUGAGUACACUCUAGAUGGGCUCAUUAUGAAUCAAGUUCUCUCAGAACAAAGAGGAAGUGCUCUGCUACAGUGACAUUGUACAUCAUAAAGCCUGGAUAAAGUCAAGAGCUGAUGUAACCUUGACUUUUGACAUGCCAAGAGACUGUUGUCUAGAUAAUGCAAGGUCCUGCAUUACACCCUCGGUGGUGGGAGAUAUGUUUUAAUGUCCCACACAGGAUGAGGUAUAGCACCACCAGCUACCAAAACCAGCAACCAAGAGGAAGGCACACAAGAAGGCUGCUGAUUUUUGUUCUGAAAUACGAAACUAAAAAUUCCGCUAGUGCCUCAAGGCAUUAUUUCUGCUGUGGGGAGGAAACAGAAGAAAUAGGUAUUGUGUAAAGUGAUUCUUCAUUCACUCAAAACAACGCUCAUAAAGAAAAAAAAAUGGAUGGUGAAAGAAAUUAUAUCCUCCCUUAAUUUGACACUUAGAAAGUCUUAGAGAUAUCCAUUCUUUGCUAUCAUUUGGAAGAAAGAUCAAUUUUGAAGAUUUUUCUGGGUAACUGAGAGAAAUUUCACCAAGACUAAGCAACUGGUGGAACCUGACUGAAAAUGUUGUCUUAGGAAGUGUCCCUGUGUCAGAAGGCUGUCAGGUAAACCAUUUCUCUUAUCCAGGUACUAUUA